UACGUAGGGGGCUAGCGUUGUUCGGAAUUACUGGGCGUAAAGCGCACGUAGGCGGAUAUUUAAGUCAGGGGUGAAAUCCCAGAGCUCAACUCUGGAACUGCCUUUGAUACUGGGUAUCUUGAGUAUGGAAGAGGUAAGUGGAAUUGCGAGUGUAGAGGUGAAAUUCGUAGAUAUUCGCAGGAACACCAGUGGCGAAGGCGGCUUACUGGUCCAUAACUGGACG
rnacentral:rRNA from 1 species